ensembl:lncRNA
GCUCUGCUAACACAGGCCACUUGUAGGAGAGCACAGGGAGAGCAGCUCGCAGUGCUUAUGCAAUGGUGUGACUGCAGAGUGCCCGAGGAGAGCCAGCUCUUCUCUAGGCCUUUCAGAAAGAAGAGCCUUUGCCUCUGAAGCCUCCAGCUGAGAAGCCAUUACCUUGAGGUAGUGAAUUUAGCACUCAUCAGAUGCGCUGGAUCGAGUCCCUGGCAGGACACCAGCAGGACAGCCAGCCCACACAGAGGCCUGCCCGUGCUGAUGGCUGCGUUUUUGGGGUGCCUCUUUGGGCCAGCCAAGCAGCACAGCAGCGACUGCUCGCCAUCAUCGCAGCCCUCGCUGACCCCAGAGACCAGAUACCAUGCACUGAGAGCACCACAACCCAGCCCAGCCCAGAACAGAGCCUACUGGUUCCUUUGGCCACCAGCCGACAACACGACAAGAAUCCACAACUCGGACGUUCAUGGCGGGGGGGGAUGCUACUGUGAACGCCUGC